CUGGACGUUACACACAUCCACUUUCACCACAAAUCUAAUAUACCCCAAUACUCAUUUUGAGUAUCGGGUAUAAAAAGCGCUGUGCCACGACUUCGUCUUGCCUAAAAUGAUCAUAGAAUUGCCAAGCUGUGCAGUAUAUUUUUCCGCCAUAAUAUUCAACAGCCUGAUGAAAUAGGGGUACUAUUCAUAAGGGUAAACGUGGAAUCUAUUUUGUGACCCGAAAUCGAUCAUCAGCUGCGCCCACAGCAGCAGGAUUGGCGCGUGUUUUUAACAUUAACUGUAAACUCAAUAGGUAUGAUAUGGUGAUGUGUCGCAAAAUAAUUGCCUAAAUUGCACUUUGGUGGCACAAACGAAAUUUCAGAGCACGUCAGCUGAAGGAUAAAAUGCACUGUAUACACAUUAGCGCUCCAAAAUUUGUUUCAUUUGAAACUAUAAAUAUUGGUUUAUACAAAUACGUAGACACAAAAAUAUACAUAUAGUAAGUUCUAGGAUAUCGUCAUAAUCAAAAGGUUUAGCAUGAGCGUAAGAAUCUGAAACAAACUAAAUGUAUCUACUCAUCACAUUUGCAUGGACAUAUCAUCUGCAUAUGUAUGUACAUAGUGUCAGUAAACAAGUUUUAACAAACACUGUCAUCUUACUCCUCACUCUUUCAAGAGAUAUAACACAAACAAAUGUAAUCUAAAGAAAAUCAUAUUUAUACAAUCGCAUUCUUAAAUUUAUUAUUGAUUUAUUAAACUGCACCUGGAUUUUGGUUUCCGGGUUAACUUAUCCUAUAUUAAGGGCGGGUCUUUUCGAAAGAUAAAAUAUAUGUUAUAUCGAAGCACCAAUAAAGGUAUGAUUGUAUAUAAACACAACUAUUCUAUUUCUGAUUUUUUAUAGCGACAUUCACAAGACUAUGGCAAUUCUCAUGAAAAUUCAUAUAUAUAAAACAUGGUAUUUUUAAGGAAAUAAGUUAUCCUCUGUUGUAAAUUACUAUAACAAAA